rnacentral:sRNA from 1 species
GCCAGGUGCAGUGGCGCACACCUGUAAUCCCAGUGGCUUGGGAGGCUGAGGCAGGAGGAUCAUGAGUUCAAAGCCAGCCUCAGCAACCCUGAGGUGCUAAGCAACUCAGUGAGACCUUGUUUCUA